CGCGUGCACUGGUUCGGCCGGGCCUUUCCCUCUGGGGAGCCGCAUGCCCUUCACUGGGUGUGUCGGGGAACCAGGACUUUUACUUUGAACAAAUUAGAUCGCUUAAAGAAGGCCUAUGCUCGAAUACAUUAGCAUGGAAUAAUAGAAUAGGACGCGUGGUUCUAUUUUGUUGGUUUCUAGGACCGCCGUAAUGAUUAAUAGGGACAGUCGGGGGCAUCAGUAUUCAAUUGUCAGAGGUGAAAUUCUUGGAUUUAUUGAAGACCAACUACUGCGAAAGCAUUUGCCAAGGAUGUUUUCAUUAAUCAGGAACGAAAGUUAGGGGAUCGAAGACGAUCAGAUACCGUCGUAGUCUUAACCAUAAACUAUGCCGACUAGGGAUCGGACGAUGUUAUAUUUUGACUCGUUCGGCACCUUACACGAAAGUAAAGUUUCUGGGUUCUGGGGGGAGUAUGGUCGCAAGGCUGAAACUUAAAGAAAUUGACGGAAGGGCACCACCAGGGGUGGAGCCUGCGGCUUAAUUUGACUCAACACGGGGAAACUCACCAGGUCCAGACACAAGUAGGAUUGACAGAUUGAGAGCUCUUUCUUGAUUUUGUGGGUGGUGGUGCAUGGGCCGUUCUUAGUUGGUGGAGUGAUUUGUCUGCUUAAUUGCGAUAACGAACGAGACCUUAACCUGCUAAAUAGCCCGCAUUGCUUUGGCAGUGCGCCGGCUUCUUAGAGGGACUAUCGG
rnacentral:rRNA from 1 species